UUCGUCAGUCCAAACGUUAAUCUUGAAGGAGCAAAGGUUUGUUCAUGAGCUGUCAUGCUCGCUAGGCGAAGCCCACGUGUUAUGCAAAAAAAAACGAAAUAAAUAAAUAAAUAAAAAAAACGAAAAAAAGAAAAAACGAAAAACGAAAAAAAUAAAACGAAAAAAGAAAAAAACAACGGAAAACGAAAAAAAGUAAAAAUAAAUAAAUAAAUAAAUAUAUAAUAGAAAAAUCUUGGACUUAAACCUCUCUCAUUUGAGCCCACAAAGGCAUGAAAAUCAGGUUAUAAAAGAGGGAGAACUGACAGAAAAAGGAAGAGAAGCAAAAACACUCUGAGGUUUCCUUGGAACAAAACCUAGAGAGAAACCUAGAUAGAGAGAGUGAGAAUUAAUCUGCAGCAACCUCCAGGCAACUCUGAAAGGUUCAUUCUGACUCACACACUUUCAGCUCAAGCAAACCCUAACAUUGGUU
rnacentral:lncRNA from 1 species